CAGAGCAAGAGCUCUGGAGUCACACUAACCUGGGUUCAAAUCCCCAGUGCUCCCCUUCCCGGCCUGUGACCUCGGGGACCCUGCCUUUGUGUGGCUGGUGGUUUAUGAAGGAGGACGGUACAGGAACGGGUGCCAGCAGCUUGUGGGGAGCACUAAAUGAGCGAGUGCAUGUAAAAUGCCUGCCACGCAGCAGGUGCCCGCCAUAGGAUCAUCUGACUCCAAGGAACCCAUCUACACCUAGCAGAGAGGAUAAACCAUCACUUAGAGAUUGAGGCAGCCACUGAACGAGAUUCUGUGGUGGUCUCUCUUGUAACAGAUUUAUUUUCAGGCUGGCUGUCAUCAUGCUAGCAACAUGACUUCUGUGAUUCUAGACCUCACACCCUCACCACCACAUCUGAGAAAGGGAGGAAU